CCAAUAGCGUAUAUUAAAGUUGUUGCAGUUAAAAAGCUCGUAGUUGAAUUUCGGGGUUCCACCGUUGGUCGGGCUAUUGUCUGUACUGGCGUGUGGAAUUUCUACCUUCUGGGGAACUAUCAUGUUAUUAAUUUAGCGUGGUAGGAAACCAGGACCUUUACCUUGAAAAAAUUAGAGUGUUCAAAGCAGGCUUAUGUCUGAAUACAUUAGCAUGGAAUAAUAAAAUAGGACGGUGGUCCUGUUUUGUUGGUUUCUGAAUCACCGUAAUGAUUAAUAGGGAUAGUUGGGGGCAUUAGUAUUCAAUUGUCAGAGGUGAAAUUCUUGGAUUUAUUGAAGACUAACUACUGCGAAAGCAUUUGCCAAGGAUGUUUUCAUUAAUCAAGAACGAAAGUUAGGGGAUCGAAGACGAUCAGAUACCGUCGUAGUCUUAACCAUAAACUAUGCCGACUAGGGAUCGGACGAUGUUACUAUAUUGACUCGUUCGGCACCUUUCG
rnacentral:rRNA from 1 species